CUCUCCUUCUUCACCCAAUGAGGACCGUCAAUAUCGAUUAGCCUCUUCCACUUCUCCAUGGUGUUGCCGAUUGAUUUCUGCAACUCUCCGUUUCGUUGGAGUUAUAAAUAUUAAGUAUUUACUCUCAAUCAUCCAAUCAUUUAUUUAUUCAUAUCUUAAUUUCAGCUUAACCCACCUUCUUCAUCCCUUAUUCAAGUUCGUACAGCCUCUGGAAUACCUCUUCAAAUUCCUAUUGCUAUCUUCGUCUUCAAAAGUUCGUGCAAAUACUAUUGGAUCGACUGUGAUAUCAAAAGUAGGCCAAAAGACAUGGCAAGUUGGAGUAAGGUCGUUUGGUUUGCGCAGGGAGUGCCCCGGUUCGUGUUUAUCACUUGGCUAGCAUUUCGCGAUAGGCUAUCUACAGGAACGCGAAUGGCUCAAUGGGGCGUGGUACAGAGCUGCUUGUUCUGUGGCGAGCCAAACGAGUCAAGAGACCAUCUCUUCUUCGCUUGCCGGUACACAUUCACUGUGUGGUUAGCAGUCGUAGGAGACCUCUUGCUAGCGGAGGCUGAUCCAGAUUGGGAGACAUCGCUUGCUCAGUUAGUGGAACUCCGAUACGAGAAGCUGGACUAUAUCCUGUUGAGAAUGGUGUUUCAGACUGCAAUCUAUUACAUAUGGAAGGAGAGAAAUGACAGGAGGCAUAUGGGGAGGCCAAAAACAGUGGAAAACGGUUAAACUGAGGAUCAUGUCUACUAGAUACUUUGAGAAUCCCAAAUUGUUGGGACUGCUCCAAAGAUGGUUUCGUGGACGGUGGGAUUCUUUGCAGCAGGGUUCGUAGGCUAGUCUCAUUCUUAUGAUUCUUUAUGUACAUAAACUCUAAAGUUCUUCUCUCAUUAAUAUAAAUUUAACAUUUCACCCAAAAAAAAAAAGACAUGGCAAGUUGCAUACAGUCUCAAUCAAUCUGUGGUACGCGUUUUUAUUUGUUUCCAUUACUCUUAGUACAAAAUAUUGCUUCCCUUCUUCUAACAUUCUUUUAGUAAAGAUUAAAUCUGACUUUUUUUUGAUGAAUUUGCUGCUUCCGUCUCACGCGUACGUGGUUCGUCAGCUGAAACGCUCUGUGGAUGUCUUUUACAACAUGGUUUGCGUAACACUGAGAAUGUACUUGAUGCGUUCCAGCUUGCGCUGUUAUGUGAUUUCCCUCGGCUUAGCGUCAUAUCUCACCAUAUGAUCAUGAAACACUUCAAAGAGCUUUGUGCUACAGGAUCAUGGAUAUUUAUGCAGAGCCGUCCCUUUCUCGAGAAAAAAAACUAAAAAGGCUCUGUCAUCAUCGAAGAAAGUGGUGCUCGCGGGGUUCUUCAAAAAUGGAACAAGAUUGAGGCAAGGCUAAAAGCCACAUCUCAUUUUUGAGAACGAAGGUUUUAGCUUCCUGUCCAAAACACGUUUUGCUUAUUCUAUUAAAAUUACUCUCAAUUUGUUUGUAUAGUAUUAUAAUCCUGAUAAUGAGAAGGUGGAGACCACUGUUGCUACGAUUCUCAAAGGAAGUAAUAAUUUUUUUGUUUAUGUUCAUUAGUAAGUAUCUGAUAGUAUAUAUUAUAUCCAUAAGAUGUAAAAUGAUUAACCCACUGAUCGACCUAGACUGUUUUGUUUCUUAUUUUCUUAAGGGUCUUCCAUUUGAGCUAUAAUAACAUGCUUCUAAAUCAAUUGUGGAGUGAAAAUGAAUCAAGUAAAACCCUUGAAAGAAGUGAGAAGUUAUGGUCAAAGCGUACCAGAAGACUCCCGAGAGUUUCUAAAAUAUAUUGUCAGAAAUCUACUCUAAACAGCCAUUCUUCCAUCAUGUACGUGAACAAUUCUUCCUGAUCGUAGAAGACAAGAGGAUGCAAACUUCAACGUAGAUUUACCGACUGAUGUUAAAGGUGCUGAUAAAAAAAAAUUAAGGCAUGUGCCAUUUAAGGAACUUGGUGAGCCCGUUGUCGUCUAUGUUCCUUUAUCUCAUGUCAUAUGGGUGCUGCGUUUAUAAGGUUUACACAAUCUU